rfam:Schistosoma rodhaini strain Burundi genome assembly, scaffold: SROB_scaffold0001349
AUCCAGCUGACGAGUCCCAAAUAAAAAGUAACGCGCAUCCUGGAU